GGCACAUGUCCUAAUCCUAUUGCUUCCUACACUUCCUAGCCAAAAUAAACUUCCUAUUUGAUCUUUUCCCUUAUUAUGAUUAGGCAAAUUUAUCAUUUAUCUAACUGUUUUUUAAUAACAGAAGUAAAAGACUUUUAAAAUUCCAACAAUAAAACUAUUCUACUUAUCUAUAUCUUUUUUUUGAAUGGCUAAUGUUGCACAUCAUGGGGAUUGAACCCCUGACCUCUCCUAUCCUAAGUUCUAUCUAAACUCACCAACACCACUGGGAUAUUCCCAAGUUGAUACUUCUCUAUAUCUAUAUAUCUUAAGGCCGUGGGUAAUGGAGACAUGAGGUAACGUCCUCGAUAACCUGACGAUGAAAGGGUGUUAGAACCCAUGUCGUGAAACCACUAACCCUGCAACUCAUUUGUCUUGGGCGUGAGUCCUCUUUUUCACCUUAGAAUUAAUUAAGCUAGCCUAUGAAAAAUAUUCCAAAUCACCUUCAAGGUUCCUUUUUAACCAAUGUUUUGUAAGAGCUUAUGACUACAUGGAAGUGAUAUCGAAAUCAUUUUAUGAUGUGACAAUGAAAAAGGGUGAUACCAUUACACAUAGCCUACGAGCAAAUUGAGCUCGAGUGUCGAAGAAACCAUGCAACAUCUACCUUCACGUGGUCUUUUAAACACAAUGAGCUCGAGUGAUGAAGAAAACACGUAAUCUCCAUCUUGUUACAUACCCAACGAGAGAACUCAACCCAAAAGACUAGUCUAGUGGGUGAGAGAGCCAUUUGGUAUAUAAACCCCAGAUCAAUUGCCCAUACAACCGAUGUGGGACAAGUCUCAUACCUUGCAAUGGUAUUAGUCCAUAACAAUCGACCCUCCUUAAGGGCCAACGUCCUCGUAACCGCCUCUCAGUUAAAUAUAUUUAAUUGGAGUGAAUCUCUCAAAACCGAUCUAUGAAGCAGAAUUAUCAUAAGCUUGUACGUCAAUCAAGUCCCCACCCAGUUGCUUAGAACUCAACACAUAUCAAGAUGGCUUUAAAGGGUAGGUAAGGGUUAAAGAUAAGGUAUUUUAUUGAGAAAAACUGGCUAAAAAGAAAAAUAAAUGGUAAAUUACACUUUCGUCCUUUAUGUUUGUAUUAGAUUGCAAUAGAUAGCCUUUAACUUUAAUAAUUACAGUCACAGUCCUUUAUUUGUAAAAAUCAUUACACGCUACGUCCUUUAACCAUAACCUUGUUAAAAUUUUCAGUUAACUAUGACAUGUGCCUUGCACAUGAGGGCAUUUAUGUCUUUUUACCCAAUCUAUUUAAAUUAUAUAUUAUAUAUUUUCAUCAUCAUCAUCAUCAUCAUCACUGUCAACAUUCAUCACCAUUAAAAGUCACUCAUCCCAAAACCCAUUAACUCUUUAUCUCUUUACUCCAUCUCUCUCUACCUUCAAGAACCCACCCAACCAGUCACCUCUUUGUCUCCUUCCUGCCUCCAUGAAACCCCUAACCCAGAUCUGUAACUAUAAAUUCCGGCAGAACCACCGUCGUUGUCCGCUCAUCUCCGCCACCAUGAAACCAACAUCUCCGCUUACAAGACGGCAGUCAACAUCAUCAUCUUUUAUCUUCUUCGUUGUCGUUCGUGUCAUCUCACCGGAACCUCCGUCUGAUAUGUCUACAUCCGUGAUGAGUGAUGCCAUGAUCAUUCCAGCAGUAAAUCUAACAACUGAAGCGACGGAAGUAGAAUCUAUGAAGUGCGAUUGUUGCGGCUGAAACCCCUAACCCAGGAAUCUCCCUCCUUAAUGUAGGCACUUCGGAGCGACGGAAGUAGAAUCUGUUAGGGUUUUGGGAUAUGUAUACAGGGAAUAUAUGUAUGGUGGGUUCAGGAUCUGUAAAUUUGAACAUCAAGAACACCAAGAAAUGAUUCAGGUUCGCGUGCGAGUUUCUUUGUUAUGAAAUUCGGGUUUGUUGCAAAAAGAUCAAGAUUUUGUGGUUUGGGUUCUUGAAACAGAGAUGAGGUCUUGAAUGGUGACACAACAGAUUGAGGAGACUCCAUGAAAAUCUGCAAAAGAUUUAAGAGUUUGAAUAUCAAGAAAGUGCAGAAACUGAGUCAAUUUCAUCUUUUUGCAGCAAAUUUAUACAAAAAUAAACAAGAACCCUUGAUGAUGAAGAAUUAAAGAUCAAGAAUAAGCAGAAAUUUGUGUCAAUUCAUAACCAUUUGCAGCUAAUUUUAAGGGGAUAAGGGUUUGGCUUGUGUGUGAUUGUAAAAAUGAAAGAAAUAAAAAUAUGUUUUAUAUAA